AAAUAAAUCUUUCCUCCCUUAACUUUGAGUGUCAGGUGUUUUAUCCAAGCAAGAGAAAAGUAACUUAAUACAGAAUUUAAUACCACAAGUGAGGUCAUUGCUGUGACUGUACCUGAUCAUGUGGUUCAGGAGCCUUUGGAACUGCCUUGUGAGAAGAGUUUGGAAAGAUUAGGAGAUGCUGGCUGAAAAAGCAGUGCUGGAAUCUCUGAGGCUGUCCUUGAUGGGAGAUUUUGGUCAGAGCUCAGAAGACCAAAAAGCUGAUAGAAAUGGUGCUGGUAAGACAAGACAAGGGAGGUUUCUGUUGGGGAGAAGGACUGCCUUGGCUGUUGGACUCCAGAAUAUGUGUGUUAUACCUUGGCAGAAAGUUUGUCUGCAUUUUGCUCAUGUCCAGAGACUUUGCUUGAGGCUGAGAUUAAGGGCAGUAGACUAGUUAAUCUUGCAGAAGAAAUUCAAGACAGUCUAAUGUGGAGGCAGUAGCAUGGGUACUGUUGGGGGGUUUUAGCCAGAUCUGUGUUAAGAAUCAAGAGCAAAAAGCCCAGCAGAAUGAUUUAAAAUGUUUUGAGUUUUGCCAGAAAGGAAGCUCCAGUAAAGAUGAUCUGCAAAGAUGGAAGCAGAGGAGAACUCGUUUGCUGAGAAGGAAGAUGACAAUAGAAAAGACAGCCUGAGGACAUCACCAGAAACAGUAGGACUCCACCCUUUGCAGCCUCAAAAUUACAAAAGUGAAAGACUUCACUAUGAAAAGAGAACCCCUGAGCACCAUAUUGCAGAAUGGUGGCAGCCUAGGGAAGUUGUUCCUUGGGAUUUGGUUCAUAGGCCCUGGAGCUCUAUAGCCAAGAGAAAAGGAAGCCUGGCUACUGCUCUAGCUGGCAGCAGACCUUAGCAUCAUCCACAUGGUGCUGGGUUUAUGUGUAUGGAGAAUGCAAGAGUUGUGGGGUCAGGAAGACUUCCACCCAAAUUUGAGAAGAAGGUCUGGCAGGCCAGGCAGUGUGCCUCUGAGAAGGCAGUGUGUGAAGCUGUGAGCCUGAAGCUGAAGGUGCAGUGGAGACCCCAGAAGUUUGGAGUAGCCAGGAACUUGGAUUGUUUGAGGAAAACUGCAAGGAGGGAGCAGAGUGGGCCCAAGAGAGAAGCCAUGGGAACUACAAUCUCUGGCAGUACUAUAAGGGUGGACCCACCCAAGCCCUUUGGAGUUCACAUCUUGCCACACAUUGCUUUGGAUGCUAGACAUGGAACUACAGGACUUAAUAUUUGCCCUGCUGGAUUUUGGACUUGCAUUGUUCCCAUUCCUUUGUGUCCCCUUCUUUGUACCUUUUGGAAUGGAAAUGUCUAACUUGUACCAUUUAAUGUUGGAAGUGUUAAACUUUCUUUUCAUUUGUACAGGGGCUUGCAGCUAAGAGUGUGCCUUAAAGCUUAGAUGAGAUUUUGAACUUGGACUUUUCAACAGUGCUGAAACUGUUGGGACUUUAGCAACUCCUGGAGAUGGACUAAAUGCCUUUUGCAUAAAGGAAUGUACAUGAGUCUUUGGGGAGCCACUGGUGGAAUGUUAUGGCUUGUAUCUAGAUUACCCCCAAAACUUCAUGCAGUCAUAGGUGGGGCUUUUUGGAGGUGGCUGGAUCUAGGGUUUUUCCUGGUGGGAUCAAAGAUGUGAUGCUGGGAUUGAUUCACAGUGAGAUGCUAGGAUCAAGGGUGUGAGUAGCUACCUACCCUAAGGCUGGGUAGCCUGGGUAGCAUGUAAGGGACAGAAAGAGCUGUGGUCAUAGCUUGUCACGAGUCACUUGCUUGCUUUUGCUGUGUUUUACCUGCCAUGAACUGUUUCUCCUCUGCAAUUCCCCUCUGCCAUGCCACCCUGCCUUGGAGCUAGCCAUUCACGGGCUGAAACUUCUACAAACUGUGAGCUGAAAUAAACCUUUCCUCUUUUAACUUUUGGUGUUGAGUAUUUUGUUUCAGCAACAAGAAAAGUAACUAAGACAGCUAGCUCUUGCCAGCCUGGUCUGACAGCCUGGUUCCUGGCUGUGGCCUCAGAGCCUUCUGUGGAUGCUGCUGCUGCCUCUUUUGGAAGUCUUCUUGUGUACCUCUUUGAGCUGUUCUGGACAUGUUCAGCAAGGAGGCUACCUGCCCUGUCCAUCAUAAGAAAAUGUCUUAUGGAUCAAUCACCAGUGGAGGCAGCCUGGAGAGCUAUAGCCUUUUUUGAGGACCCUUAAGAGGGCCAGGUGUCACCCCUGAAGGUAGGAAGAUGGUGAAUCCAUCCCACUACCUGCCCCUGGACCAGGAAGGAUUUGGCUACUGGGCCUCACACCUGGAUGGCAGGACUCAUUGCUAUCUGGACCAAGAAGAGAAAGCCCAACUUCUGCCCACAGGAGACUGAAGUGGUAGUGUCCAAGGUCAGCAAGCCCAGUUGCUAUUCGGCACAGGACUGCUGAAGGCUGAGCCUAUCUGCAGGUCUCAGGUGUGGAGCCGAAUCCUUCAGGCUGUGAAUGUGCUGGGUUACUGUUGCUGCGACAUGGUUGACUUGAAGCACAAGUGUGCUGUUGUGUGACACAAACUGGGUACCUCUGGAAGGCAGCCGCUGGCUCUGCCCCAGGCUCUGGCAAACCACAGGCUCCAGCCCUCACACCUGUGGAGCAGACAGUGGCCAAGACCUUCUCCUGUCAGGCACUGUCCCUUGAGAGCUUCAGCCUAGAGCCACCCAGAGCCACCCAGGUUGAUGGUUGUGACUUCUGGAGCUGUGCCAGCAGACAUGAGCCAACAUCUCCUGAAUCAACUCCCAUGAGUGACUUGCUGGAUGUGAAUCAGCUCAUAGAAGACAGCCUCUGUGAUGUCAGAGCAAGAUGUCACGCUCCAGGGACAACCCUCCUUCUGCUGUCAGGGCAGUGCAUGCCCAUCGGGCAACCCCAGGGCUGAGAUGCAGAGGCAGCCAGAGAGCUCCUGGUGGGCACCAAGUAAGGCGUAUGAGGUACCUGUGGCCCAGAGCAACAGAGAAGACCUUGGAAGCAGCCCUGGCAUCUUGUCCUCCUUCAACAGAAGGGCCCCCUUCUUCAGAAAAUGUGCUGAAUAGGGGCAGAACCACUGUUUAUUUAACAAAUGAGGACUGUCCCUGGAGUCAGACUGAACUGGGUUCUAAUUCCAGCUUGGCCAGUAACUAGUUGUGAGUGACUUUGAGCAUGUUGUUUAUUUAUUGUGCAUCUCAUUUUCCUCUUUUGUAAAAUAUAAUACUAUUAAUGCUUCAUAUGUAAAGCACUGAGCACGAGCUGUUGACAGAAAAGGUGGUGGUAUUGGUGUUGGUGGUAAAGAUUAAAAUGUUGAUAGUAGUAGUGCUAGUUGUGGUUGUGGUGAUGGUAAUGGUGAUGGCGGAGUGAUGGUGGUGGUCACAGUGAUGUGGAGGUGAUGCUGAUAGUGUUUAUGGUGAUGAUGAUGAUGAUGGUGUUGGUAACUAUGGUGAUGAUAAAGGUGCUGAUGGUGGUGAUGAUUAUAGUAAUGGUAGUGAGCCCUCCAUAAUAGGCACUGUACAAAGCACUGGGUGAACUGAGACAAAUAAGCUGUAUCUGUCUUUGAGAUGCUCGUAUCUUAUCAAAGGCCUCCCUGGGUGGGGUCAGGGGUCCAGCUUUUCUCACUGCCCCAGAGGCAGCCACUGGAGACCUCUUCUCAGGAGCUGCUCUGUUCACAUUUGGUGACACUUUAGGCCUGCUUCCCCAAUUGGCCUCAAGCUCCUGUAGAUGGGCAUAGGCUAUAUUUCUAUACCAUCCUGGCAGUCAGCACAGGACUGAUCUCAAGGGGGGUGUCCAGGACACAACAAAGGGGCCAGUAUGGUUUUCUGGGCUUCUUCUGGGGCAGGACUGGGCAGUGCAUGGCAUGGGACACAGAGCUGGCACCAGGAACCACUGGAGUGUGGCACCAUUCUGCCAGAGGCUCUCCUUCCCUACUGCAUUCUAACCCAGCCUGUGCUCUGUGCAGUAGCCUGAAUUGCACCCACUUGGGAGGUGUGAGAAUGACAUGUGACAGGGCCUGGGACUUACCCUGAUGCAGCAGUUGGCUGAUGACAGGGCCAGAAUUAAAAUCUUGGUUUCACUAAGGCCACACUUUCCCCAUUGACCUCAAUACUUCUUACGAAGCUAGGAAGUCGAAGAAGGAAAGGGUGUUUUUCUGAAAGGCUGGUGGAGGGAAGGGGAAGCUCAGGGGAGGAUGUGCAAAGGCAGAAGAAGGUAUCCAACAGCAGCAGUCCUCAACCCAGCUUGCUGUGUACAGAGGGCCUCUGGGCCAGAGCUGUCUGAAAAUGUGGAAGUGUACCACUGUUUGUGGAGGCCCACUGGGUGUGGUACUCAGAGUGGUAGACUUAUGGCUGCAUCAGGUGCAGCAGGGGGCAGCUGGGAGGUUAGAGGAGGGAAGGCCUCCUUGCCAGGAAGCCCAGCCCCAUAGGGCAUUAGAGAAGCCAGCUAGCUGUAGCCUCCGGUGCCUGGAAAACACAGCCAAGCUCAGCUGGCCCAGGCUCUGGCUGCUGCAAACAGAUAUGGAUCAGUCUCAUUAAAAAGCCUUAGUAUGCUGCCAGACUGCACCUGGCAGGCUCCUGGGCCAGAGUGGGUGGCUCUCUGGUGGUUUCUGCAAGGGCAAAGGUGAAAAGGAAGCACAGAGUUUUAUAGCUCUCUAAAUGAAAAGCCAGAAAUCUCUGCAUGGAAUUGAUUUCUGUCUUCUGGAAAAGGCGGGGCAUCUGCAAUUGGCCCUACCAUCUCUGUCCAGUCUCAAGUCUGGAGGGGUCUGGAGGUGGGCAGCAGGAGCAGCCAAGAGUGGGGAAACCUGAGUAUCUUCAUACCCCCUGUCCUGCACUCUGAAGUCCAUGACAGCAAUGGGUGACCCCAUUUCCUCCGGCCCUCAGGAGAGACCUGGGUGACACCAUUGUCAUUACCACUUAGAGAAGAAGAGGUGGAGACUCAGAGGGGUCACUCAUGAUGCUGCAGUGCCCCCUAAGGCACAGAGCACAGAGGAGACUGCAGUGCCAUGGGGGCCACUGGGCCAAGCACAGUGCUGGUCCCUCCAGCCUGGGAAGUUGUGCCCAAGCACUAGCUAUGCCUUCCCUGCACUGGGGCAUUGCCCUACCGUGAUGGGACCAGUGAGGUAUGUGUGUGCCGCAUUGCACCACUUGUCACUCAGGAAAUAGUCUCCACUGUCCCCACUUUUGUGAUUGCUGCUGUCACUGAUGCUGUUCCUGGUGCUAAGUCAGGGGAGCUGUUGUACUGUAGUGCUGGAUGGGGCAGGUGCCCAGCCUGAGCAACUUCAGUGCCCUUUCUGCUCCACAUUAAGUCCAGUUCCUGCCUGGGCUGGAUGGCUCACCCAGUCCCCUCCCCAGUGUAUCCCCACAAGUGGGCUCUGUGGUCUGAGGCCCUUGUCUACCCUCUUGUGUACUGACUCGGAUGCCACCCUUCAGGAUGUGGGGAUGGGGCCAGGGAUAGGACAGGGGCUGGGCUUGUGCUCAGAUCUGUGGCUCUGUGUGUUCACCCUCCUGGGCAGGGCCUAAUGGAGAACAGAUGUGUCCUUACUGACUCACAUGUGUCCCUUGAGCUAGGCAGGGCAGGCAGGAAGGUGGCCAUUUUACAGAAGAAAUGGAGGAGGGAGGUUAGGUGAUCUGCCCCAGACACAGAGGAGCCAGGUAGAGACCAGGUACUAUGGUCACUGCUGUGGCCUGGUCACUGCUGCCCCGAGGAGAGAGGACAGCAGGCGAGUGGCAGUCCCUGUGAUAUUGUCUGGGCAAGGCCUCCAGGAAGUAACAAAGCUUAGUGUCUUGUUGAGGCCCGGUAGUGUUACUCACUUGCUGCCUGAUAUUUGUGGUUGGCCUUUCCUCACUCCCUCUACCAAGUUUGGGAGCAAGAAGUGAAACCUGCAAGUGCCUGUCAGAGGGCACAGCACUUCUCUGGAGCACUGGGACUAGCCAUGCCAACUCGAGCCUCAGGUUGGGGCAAGGACUCCAGCCUCAUUUACAGAUGAAGGAAAGAGGUCCAGAGAGGUUCAAUGACUUGGGCUGGUCAUACAGCAAAGGAGCGAGUCCUUUCCCCUCCCACUCCUACCAGUGCAUUAUUAAUCCAGGUCUGCUCAGGAGGGUGAUGCAGUGCCUGUUUACCUCUUGACAGCAGAAAGGGAAAACAAUAAAAUUAAACCAAACAAACUGCCCAGACAUCAAACAAACCCUCUCUCAAAGUGCGUGCUCUGCAGUCAGAGGAGCCAGUCCCAUCAGAGCCCUUGAAGAAAGGAAGAGCCACUGCUUUCACCGCCAGGUACCCAGAACUGGGCUGGCACCUCAGAAGGCAGAAGUGGUAGGCAGCACCACCCAGAGAUGCGCAGGAGCACUCACCCUCACUGGAAGCACUUUUGCUGCCUGGAGCUGCUUGUGGAACCUGCACUCCACAGCCUUUUCUCUGCACUUGCUUGUCCCUCCAAAUCAGGAAGAAUCAGCUCUCAUUUCUCCUUCAUGGCAUUUUUGAGAGUUGGAAUCUCCUGUUUCAGCCCUAACUGACAAAGUCCAAGCUCUAAGAGAAGUCCUAGGCCC